UACGUAGGGGGCUAGCGUUGUCCGGAUUUAUUGGGCGUAAAGCGCGUGUAGGCGGUUUCGUAAGUCUGCUGUGAAAGUCGGAGGCUCAACCUUCGAAAGCCGGUGGAUACUGUGAGACUUGAGUACGGAAGAGGAGAGUGGAAUUCCUGGUGUAGCGGUGAAAUGCGCAGAUAUCAGGAGGAACACCAACGGCGAAGGCAGCUCUCUGGGACGUUACUGACGCUGAGACGCGAAAGCGUGGGGAGCAAACAGG
rnacentral:rRNA from 1 species